rnacentral:tRNA from 1 species
GACAAGUACUUACGGAACCUCUUGUCGGACUGUCGAUCCGAAGGUUGAGGGUUCGAGACCCUUCGGCCUCG